CGCGGCCUAUCAGCUUGUUGGUGAGGUAAUGGCUCACCAAGGCGACGACGGGUAGCCGGCCUGAGAGGGUGACCGGCCACACUGGGACUGAGACACGGCCCAGACUCCUACGGGAGGCAGCAGUGGGGAAUAUUGCACAAUGGGCGGAAGCCUGAUGCAGCGACGCCGCGUGAGGGAUGAAGGCCUUCGGGUUGUAAACCUCUUUCAGCAGGGACGAAGCGUGAGUGACGGUACCUGCAGAAGAAGUACCGGCUAACUACGUGCCAGCAGCCGCGGUAAUACGUAGGGUGCGAGCGUUGUCCGGAAUUACUGGGCGUAAAGAGUUCGUAGGCGGUUUGUCGCGUCGUUUGUGAAAACUCACAGCUCAACUGUGAGCUUGCAGGCGAUACGGGCAGACUUGAGUACUGCAGGGGAGACUGGAAUUCCUGGUGUAGCGGUGAAAUGCGCAGAUAUCAGGAGGAACACCGGUGGCGAAGGCAGGUCUCUGGGCAUUAACUGACGCUGAGGAGCGAAAGCAUGGGGAGCGAACAGGAUUAGAUACCCUGGUAGUCCAUGCCGUAAACGUUGGGCACUAGGUGUGGGGGACAUUCCACGUUUUCCGCGCCGUAGCUAACGCAUUAAGUGCCCCGCCUGGGGAGUACGG
rnacentral:rRNA from 1 species